rnacentral:lncRNA from 1 species
AACCCCGAAGAUGAACCCCAAUGAAUAACAAUCAUCGCAAAUGAACCCCGAAGGAUGAACCCCAAUAUGAACCCCAAUAUGACAUACAAUCAUCACAAAAUGAACCCCGAAGAUGAACCCCAAUAUGAAUGACAACCGUCAUAAAUGAACCCCGAAGAUGAACCCCAAAUGAUUAACAAUCAUCACAAAUGAACCCCAAAGAUGAACCCCAAUAUGAACCCCAAAAUGACCCCCAAGUGAUAACAGAAGAGAUCCUC